CAAAUUCAGGUUAUGCCUCCGUCAUGCGCCACCAGACCAAACACCAUGUCCUAGGAUGAGUGCGCUACAGCAGUCAAUUUGCAAAUGUGCAGAAGAGCCUACAUAAAGGGUAAUUAGACUGGAGCUCGGUCUGAGUUUUGAUUCACUAGACGAAGCGUACUACUUCUAAAGUUUGUAUUUCUGGGAGAUCGGAUUUGGAAUUUGGUAUGACAAAAGCAGACUGAACACUGAGAGGACAAAAUCAAUGCGAGAAAUCCUUUGUGGCUGCUCGGGGGAGCCAGAGAUGGAGAAUAGUAGAUCUUGCAGAUGCGAGUGCCCUGCAUUGAUAAGGCUCUUGCAAGCGGUUGACAGCAGUUGGUACAUCACAUAGCACCGUGAGGGGCACGACCAUUCCAUGUCUAACAAUGGGAGAGAGGGUGCACUGGCCGUUGCACAAACAUAUCGACGUUUAUUACUAAAGAUUUGAUAAAGUAAUUAAGGGAAAAUAAUGUGAACCUUGGAAGGUGCACGACAUCAUAGACAGCUUCUCCGGAUCGGUCGAGAAGGUACCGUUCGAAAAAGAGGACAAUCAGGAGCAUCUGCGAUCAACCUUUAGAAGACUGCGAUCAAGCUGAUGUUGGCGCGAAGAAGACUUUGGAGGUCUUCGUAGCAUUAUUGCCGGAGACCCUGACUUGACCGUUUGGGCUAUUCUUGGAGCCAGAAUAGAUGUUUAUGUACGGCCGGAAUCAUAAGUCGUUUCCUUCUACUCGAUUCCUAUGUAGGGUCACAUCUCUGUAGUUCCUGGACAUCUCGAGCUUGGGGUCGACAGCGAGCGCUUGGAGCACGAACUUGAUGCUGGAGCAAGGAGGCCAUGGCGUCGACAAGGGAGAAGUGAUACAACAGAAACUCUCUUCGGAGAAGAUUUUGAAGCAGGAGCUGAACGACAGGGUUGGAGACGGUACCCUUGAAGGAUUCAACAAGCAUGACCCAGCUGCCGUCGCGCUGGCCAGCUACGAUGUGGUUGACUCCGGCACAAUCGGGGCACGCGUGAUGUAUGUGGCCGAAGAGGUUGGUUCUAGUGGAGUAGAGGAGGUGAGCAAAGUACUGUGCUUGCUCUGCUCCCGUUGUGCAAGAUAAGCGCACCAUCUUCAACAGUUUGUUGUAGCGUGCAUGCGCUGUGCUUGAGGCUGCAGACAAAAAAGAAAACUCGUCGAGUGUGAUAACGUCAUGAUUUAUGAAGGAAAACUCUAGUUUGUGCUUGUAAAGCCCAGUUGGCUGAGUACGCAAACAGUUGCAUCUCGUUGACACUAAAGUUCUUAUAUAUAGUAAUCAAAAUAGUUUUGUUUUUUGUUA